CAACAUGGUAUCAGAGCAUACCUAAGGACUCAUCGUCCAACUCUUCUUCAUACUACAUUAUGACUGAUUCCUUCACCACCCACUCCUCUUUCUCCACUCCCACUUCCCUUCCUUCCUUACCUUCACCUAACAUCUCUCACAUUCUUUCAGUGAAGCUUACGCCUGAAAACUUCCUACUAUGGAAAGUUCAACUUGUACCUUAUCUACGAGGCCAACACCUUUUUAAAUAUGUUGAUGGCUCUUGCCCAACCCCACCUCAUCAACUACCCGAUGCCUCAUCAAACCCAGAAUAUGAAACAUGGUUUCAACAAGACUAGCUGGUCAUGUCGGCUUUGAUAUCCUCUCUUUCCGAAUCCAUCAUUCCUCAGGUUGUUGGUUGUGUUUCUGCUUGUGAGGUUUGGCUAUCCUUAGAAUAUGCUUAUGCUUCUUCCUUCCAAGCCCGUCUCAUUCAAACUCAACUUCAGCUUGCUUCCCUUAAGAAAGGUUCUGAUUCAAUAUCAACCUAUUUUCAAAAAGCCAAAUCUCUCGUUGACACUAUGGCAGCUGCUGGACGCCCUUUACCUUCCCCUGAUUUUAUACCUUACCUUUUAGCUGGACUUGGACUAGACUACGAUGCCUUAGUCUCAUCUGUAUCAGCUCGAGUUGACCCUAUUUCUACAGAGUCACUCUUGAGUCUUCUUCUAGCUCACGAAGCUAGACUACAACAUCACGUUGCCAAUAUUUCACACUUCUCAUCUGAAAUAUCAGCUAAUUUUACCACUCUCUCCCUUGCCUUCAGUCGAGGUCGUGGCCGUAGCCGUCAAAACUAUGGUCGAAAUCGUGGAGCUCGUUCAGGCAACCGUGGCUGAGGAUUGGCCACAUGGCUCUUACGUGUGUCUAUCGAUUCAACCAAGCCUACACAUCCGUAGCUCCAGCCUCAGCUCACUACAGCUCAUCUAACUGCACUUCAAACGAUGCUUGGUACCCUGAUACAGCGGCAACAAAUCACAUUACGAGCGACGUUGCUAACUUGAACCUUCAGUCUGCAGAAUACCAUGGUUUCGACCAACUUCAUGUCGGUGAUGGCUCUUCUCAACCAAUCUCGCACUUUGGAUUGCAAAACGGGAACCUUAUUGCUCCAAGGGACAACAGCACCUAACGACCUUUAUACCUUCGCAUCACAGCUUCCUCAAGCUAACUCCAGCUCUCUCUCUUCCGUUCCACUUUGGCACUCACGUCUUGGCCACCCCUCCCUCAAGAUUGUUCGCUCCAUACUCUGCAACAAUGACCUUCCUUUUGCUGAAAUGUCUUCAACAAAUUUUUUUAAUACUUGUGCUAUGGCAAAACAUCAUCGCCUACCAGCUACUACCAGAACCACUAAGUUUAUUGAACCAUUUAAUCUUGUUUUUAGUAACUUAUGGGGACCUUCCCCCCAUGUUUCAGUUGAGGGUUUUCGUUUUUACA